AUGUUAGAACAACCGAUUAAUUUCCUGAGUUGGAACAUAAGGGGUCUGAACUGCCCAGAUCGGCGUGCCACGGUCAGCGCCACGAUCACCUCGUCGUCGUGCCAUGUCGUGUGCCUCCAAGAGACUAAGCUCGACAAUGUUGACCAGUUCUUGGCAGCCUUCCUGGGGGGACAUAGGUUGCGUAGCUUCGCGCAAAGGCCUGCAACUGGCACUAGGGGUGGCAUCAUGAUGCUUUGGGAUGACCUCCUUGUGGAUGUUUCCUGCAUCAACACCACGGCGUUUUGCCUUUCCGCCAUGGUCAGGGUGCGAGGGGCCGACAUGCUCUUCAAGAUCACCUCCGUCUACGGUCCCUCAGACUCCUCUUGCAAAGAUGCUUUCUUUGCCGAGCUGCUGGCAGAGAAACCACCGACCGGGGUGGCCUGGCUUGCCUCAGGCGACUUCAACCAAAUUUAUAGGGCGCGAGAUAAAAAUAAGAGAAAUGUGAACCGCGGCAGGAUCAACCGUUUCAGGGCAACGCUCCACAAUUGUGAACUCAAAGAGAUCCACCUUCAAAACCGGAGAUUCACUUGGAGCAAUGAGAGGGCAAAUCCAACCUUAUGCAAGCUUGACUCUUUUUUCUGCAACGCCGAGUGGGACACAACUUUCAACACUCAUGUCCUUAAUGUGCUUUCCUCCUCUCUCUCCGACCAUUGUCCGCUUCUUCUUGCUGAUGACAAGGGACCAAGAAGGCCUCGAGUUUUUAAAUUUGAAAACUUCUAGGCAUCCAUGCCCGGAUUCAACGAGGUGGUUCAAAAGGCGUGGAACGAGAUGGUUGACCACACUGAGCCAUACCUCAUUCUUUACCACAAGCUCAAGAAGACAGCUCUCCGCCUCUCUGAAUGGAGUAGAGGUCUUUUCUCCAAGGCUAAAAUUCACCACCAGGCCGCGCUCUUGGUGAUAUUUCGCCUCGACAUCGCCCAAGAGGAUAGGCUCCUCUCCACCGAAGAAAUUGAGCUCUGGGCCAGGCUCAAGAGAAGGGUCAUCGCCUUGGCGGCGCUCGAAAGAUCACGCAAGAAGCAAUGUGCGAGAAUUGCCAACCUUAGAGAUGGGGAUGCU
rnacentral:rRNA from 1 species